AUUACUGUUCGUUCACCCCCGUUACUCCGUGCCGUCCACACCCACGUGACGACUGCUCGCUACGGUGUGUUGGCC
rnacentral:sRNA from 1 species